AUUGAACGCUGGCGGCAGGCCUAACACAUGCAAGUCGAGCGGAUGAAGGGAGCUUGCUUGUGGUGUCAGCGGCGGACGGGUGUGUAAUGCCUAGGAAUCUGCCUGGUAGUGGGGGAUAACGACCGGAAACGGGCGCUACUACCGCAUACGUGCUGAGGGAGAUAGAGGGGGAUCUUCGGACCUUACGCUAUGAGAUGAGCUUAGGUCGGAGUAGCUAGUUGGUGGGGUAAAGGCUUACCAAGGCGACGAUCCGUAACUGGUCGGAGAGGAUGAUUAGGCACACUGGAACUGAGACACGGUCCAGACGCCUACGGGAGGCAGCAGUCGGGAAUAUUGGACAAUGGGCGAAAGCCUGAUCCAGCCAUGCCGCGUGUGUGAAGAAGAUCUUGGGAUUGUAAAGCACUUUAUCUUGGGAGGAAGGGCAGUAAGUUAAUACCUUGCGGGUUUGACGUUACCAAGAGAAGAAGCACCGGCUAACUACGUG
rnacentral:rRNA from 1 species